GGCCAGACUCCUACGGGAGGCAGCAGUGGGGAAUAUUGCACAAUGGGGGAAACCCUGAUGCAGCGACGCCGCGUGAGCGAUGAAGUAUUUCGGUAUGUAAAGCUCUAUCAGCAGGGAAGAAGAUGACGGUACCUGACUAAGAAGCCCCGGCUAACUACGUGCCAGCAGCCGCGGUAAUACGUAGGGGGCAAGCGUUAUCCGGAUUUACUGGGUGUAAAGGGAGCGUAGACGGCGAUGCAAGCCAGAUGUGAAAUCCGGGGGCUCAACCCCCGAACUGCAUUUGAAACUGUUGGUCUUGAGUAUCGGAGAGGCAGGCGGAAUUCCUAGUGUAGCGGGGAAAUGCGUAGAUAUUAGGAGGAACACCAGUGGCGAAGGCGGCUUACUGGACUGUAACUGACGUUGAGGCUCGAAAGCGUGGGGAGCAAACAGGAUUAGAUACCCGCGUA
rnacentral:rRNA from 1 species